rnacentral:rRNA from 1 species
GCGCAAGCCUGAUGCAGCCAUGCCGCGUGUGUGAAGAAGGCCCUUCGGGUUGUAAAGCACUUUCAGUCAGGAGGAAAGGUUAGUAGUUAAUACCUGCUAGCUGUGACGUUUACUGACAGAAGAAGCACCGGCUAACUCCGUGCCAGCAGCCGCGGUAAUACGGAGGGUGCGAGCGUUAAUCGGAAUUACUGGGCGUAAAGCGUACGCAGGCGGUUUGUUAAGCGAGAUGUGAAAGCCCCGGGCUCAACCUGGGAACUGCAUUUCGAACUGGCAAACUAGAGUGUGAUAGAGGGUGGUAGAAUUUCAGGUGUAGCGGUGAAAUGCGUAGAGAUCUGAAGGAAUACCGAUGGCGAAGGCAGCCACCUGGGUCAACACUGACGCUCAUGUACGAAAGCGUGGGGAGCAAAACAGGAUUAGAUACCCUGGUAGUCCACGCCGUAAACGAUGUCUACUAGAAGCUCGGAGCCUUCGGCUCUGUUUUUCAAAGCUAACGCAUUAAGUAGACCGCCUGG